rnacentral:misc_RNA from 1 species
AACGCACAUUGCGCCCGCCAGUAUUCUGGCGGGCAUGCCUGUUCGAGCGUCAUUUCAACCUUCAAGCUCAGCUUGGUGUUGGGUGUUUGUCCCGCCCCCCGCGCGUGGACUCGCCUCAAAUUGAUUGGCAGCCGCAUCCCCCCGCCGCGAGCGCAGCACAGUCGCGCUUACGACGUGGGUGGGUCGGCGAUCCAGAAGCCUAUUUCAACGUCUUGACCUCGGAUCAGGUAGGGAUACCCGCUGAACUUAA